GACGAACGCUGGCGGCGUGCUUAACACAUGCAAGUCGAACGGAAAGACCCUGCUUUUGUGGGGUGCUCGAGUGGCGAACGGGUGAGUAACACGUGAGUAACCUGCCCUUGACUUUGGGAUAACUUCAGGAAACUGGGGCUAAUACCGGAUAGGAGCUCCUGCUGCAUGGUGGGGGUUGGAAAGGUUCGGCGGUUGGGGAUGGACUCGCGGCUUAUCAGCUGGUCGGUGGGGUAGUGGCUUACCAAGGCUUUGACGGGUAGCCGGCCUGAGAGGGUGACCGGCCACAUUGGGACUGAGAUACGGCCCAGACUCCUACGGGAGGCAGCAGUGGGGAAUAUUGCACAAUGGGCGGAAGCCUGAUGCAGCAACGCCGCGUGCGGGAUGACGGCAUUCGGGUUGUAAGCCGUUUGCGCCUGUGACGAAGCGUGAGUGACGGUAAUGGGUAAAGAAGCACCGGCUAACUACGUG
rnacentral:rRNA from 1 species